rnacentral:rRNA from 1 species
UACGGAGGAUCCAAGCGUUAUCCGGAUUCAUUGGGUUUAAAGGGUGCGUAGGCGGAAUUGUAAGUCAGUGGUGAAGGCCCUCAGCUUAACUGAGGAACUGCCAUUGAUACUGCAAAUCUUGAGUACAUUUGAUGUGGGCGGAAUGUGUCAUGUAGCGGUGAAAUGCUUAGAUAUGACACAGAACACCGAUUGCGAAGGCAGCUCACAAAACUGUAACUGACGCUGAGGCACGAAAGCGUGGGUAUCAAACAGG